AGUGAACGCUGGCGGUAGGCCUAACACAUGCAAGUCGAACGGCAGCACAGUAAGGGCUUGCUCUUACGGGUGGCGAGUGGCGGACGGGUGAGGAAUACAUCGGAAUCUACUUUUUCGUGGGGGAUAACGUAGGGAAACUUACGCUAAUACCGCAUACGACCUACGGGUGAAAGCAGGGGAUCUUCGGACCUUGCGCGAUUGAAUGAGCCGAUGUCGGAUUAGCUAGUUGGCGGGGUAAAGGCCCACCAAGGCGACGAUCCGUAGCUGGUCUGAGAGGAUAAUCAGCCACACUGGAACUGAGACACGGUCCAGACUCCUACGGGAGGCAGCAGUGGGGAAUAUUGGACAAAGGGCGCAAGCCUGAUCCAGCCAUACCGCGUGGGUGAAGAAGGCCUUCGGGUUGUAAAGCCCUUUUGUUGGGAAAGAAAAGCAGCAGGUUAAUACCCCGCUGUUCUGACGGUACCCAAAGAAUAAGCACCGGCUAACUUCGUG
rnacentral:rRNA from 1 species